UAUCAGCAAGAAUUGCACAUGCAUGUGCUGUGCAAGUGGAGAAAUCCCAGGAGUGGAGAAGCCUUCAAUUGAGAGGACACAGCCUCUUCUUUAGUCAGGAUGUCAGCCAUGUACUAAAGAGCAAUUCCCACUAAAUUCAGAGAGACUUCUGAGUAUAUAAGUGUAGGCUUGCUCUGUUAAUCAUACUGUUAUGCUCUGCCCACUUGCCCAACAGGUAAAAAGUUCCAGAGGUAGUGCUACCAAGGUUUGGAAUCUUUGGGAGGAGAGAUUACUGGAGCCAUAUGGAGUUGUCAUGGUUGUUGUUUUGUAAUAUUGGCUCACAUAAUGAGGAAAAUUACUCAUCAUCCCAUCACCUAACUUGUCCUUUUAAUUUCCAUGGAACUGCAUUGAAUAAUUUUCCUCAGUGUGUCAGCCAUUUUGUUUCUUUACAAAUAUACAAGAUGAGCACCAGGAAGAGGCAAAGAGCAUGCACACCCCUACAAGGCAGCAGAUCUACUGCCUCACAUCAGGUCUCCAGAGAGAGGCCCUGUGUCUUCCAAGCUGUGGCAGCUUUCCAUAUUCUAUACAUUCCAGAAUAAUCUCUGUAUCCCAAGACUAUCCUUAAGAUGUAUCUCCUGACCAGGCAUGAACUAGGCAUUUCUGGAUGAUGAGCCAGUCAUCUGCCUUACAAAAGAAAUACCCAGCCAUUGGCCACAAUGAUACAUACAGUAUAGCUCCCCACAAGGUUUCAGUGGAGCAAUAAGAUCUAGGUAACACAUGCCUUUGUGUAUGUAGAAUGUCUGUUGAAAUGAACCGGUCAACAAAUGUUUUAACACAAAAGCACCAUGUACUGAUCCUCUACAUAAAACUUUUGUGUGAGAUGGCUUGGUAAGAAAGUUUAAAUGUAAACAUAUGUGUCACACACAUUUACUCCAUAACAGCACAAUCUUAUGCCUAUUUACUCACAAGUAAAUCCCACUGUAUCCAGUGGCAUUUACUUCCUGUACAUGUGUGUAGAAAUUUAGAUUCAAGUCUUAAAACUUUCUAAAACUGAUGGUUAAUUCAGACGUACAAGUUUGUAAUAUACUCCUCAUGUGAGGACGGUGCCACCUCAAAUUCAAACUAUACAAUAUGUUGGGAUAUCUGUGAUCAAUAUGUGCUAUGUUUUCUGAAAUGCAGACUAAGGACUAGUCUGCAAAUUUGAUUACAGGAGCAGUGUUGGGACUGAUUAUUUUCAUGGAUAUCGUUUUUGUAAUCAAAAUUGCCUACUCCCACCUCUUUUCUCACCAGUGGGAGAAAAACUACAGGAAGGCGCAAAUGUUCCUGUCACACACAGUGUAUGAGAGGCCUCAUUUGCUCUUAACCCUCUUGAAAAUGGGUUUGUGAGUGUUGCUCAGAUUUGAAUAUGUCAGACUUACUGACUGACAUUCAGACUAAUGCUGCACUUGUGCAAAGAAGUUACACAAUUGCAAAGAUGCUGUGUUAGCAGAUGCAUUAAGUCAGGAUGUGCAUUCCAGACUAUUGUUGCACUAGUGCACUAGGGUGCCCUUGCACAAAAAGUAGAUUCCCACAUCCUGUUCUGCUAUUGUUGAGCAAGUGCAGCUUUAAGAUCCCCACAACUUCAUGCAGCUCUGCUUCUUGUGAAUGCCCAACUUUGCUCAUUGUGCUACUGCAGUGUUAGUCCAAAUGUCAUCCACUGUAUUCAGAGAAUGAAUUGCAGCUUUUGUUCUGAUACCUCCGUCUUCAAGAAAGACAUCUCACUGCAUUGUGCUUUACAUAGUGGCUGGCCUCUUUCAAAAUGGGUGUUAGGUUGACUUUGGAUUCAUCAUUGCCACACAGAAUGUUGGCUUGAAACAUUAAGGGCAGUAGUGAAACACUGAAAUAAUGGCUGGUGUGGCAAAUUCAGGACAACAUUGUACAGGUGGACCUCACUAUACGUGGUAUUGCUAUUUGUAGUUCCGCAUAUCCGUGGGUCCCUAAUUAAUACCCAAACUUGUUAUCCAUGGACAGAAGAGUGUUAAAAACCACAUAUCCGUGGUCCCUAGGUAGCCAGUAAUGAUGUUGGAGGUAAUUUCUGGCCACAAUUUUGUAAAAAUGAGCCAUUUUUGUGGCUCAUUUGUUUAAAACAAAGCCUUUUUUCAGUGAUUUUUUCAUGGAAAAAUGGACUUGGGGGAAUUUCUGGUCAGCUGGAGAACUGUGGAACAUGGUAGGACAUAUUUCCCACAUUUUCCCCACACAAAUCCAUUUUCACCCAUUUUCCAGCCUACAGGAAUCUAACCCCCCACCAAUCCCAUUGACUUUAAUGCCCCAUUAUCCACAGUUCUGUUAUCCACGGGUCCCCCAUAGAAAGGAAUCCCCAUGGAUAAUGGGCUUCACCUGUAUUUUACAUCUCUCCCCCACUUUAAUACAGAUAUGAAACCUAAGCUGGUAUUUGUAUUUGAAAUGCAGAAGGUUGAGCUGGAUUUGCAUCCUAACUUUGAUUUGGAUAUCUUAUUUCUCAAGGUGGAUAUCCUGAAGUGUUGUAUUUUAAAUCCUUCCUUGUUCCCUUGAAAACAGAUAUGGGGGUCAAGCAGGGGGUCACCUAACAAAUAUGGUGAUGUACGAUUGUCCAUACAAAUAUUACCAGAAUAGCAUGAGACCUAGUCAUACAGAACAGUCUCCCAUGGAACUUAGCUUGUCAUUGGAUGUCAUUUUUAUCGGAAGAAAUUAGUUCCUUGGAAGGAACAAAGGUCAAGGCUGAACUUAGAGAAAUGGAUUAUUUACUUCUUGAUAUCACAGAUAAAUGAGUUGCAGAAUCUGCCAUCCUGAUCACAGGCAAAAGUAUGUGCUUAUCAUGAGGCCAGAAUUGAUUUACAAUUGAGACUUGAGGCUCCAUCCCAAAGUGUUAAUAAGGAUUCAGAUCUAAAAUGUGACGAGUUUGUAUAAGGUAUGUGAAAAGAAACACCAUCUGUGAAAAUGAGUCUCCUUCAGAUCUGUUGACUACAAGGCUCUGUAUUUCUUGAUGCCUCUGCCUUCUAAGACACAGCAUUUUGCUGGUGUCUGACUGUGUGUAAUGUACUGCAAUUCAUAUACAGAUUAAUCUAAUAACUUUUUGACUUUCAGUAAAGUAGCACACAUUC